UACAGAGGUCUCAAGCGUUGUUCGGAUUCAUUGGGCGUAAAGGGUGCGUAGGCGGCGCGGUAAGUCGGGUGUGAAAUCUUGGAGCUUAACUCCGAAACUGCACUCGAUACUGCUCUGCUUGAGGACUGGAGAGGAGACUGGAAUUCACGGUGUAGCAGUGAAAUGCGUAGAUAUCGUGAGGAAGACCAGUGGCGAAGGCGGGUCUCUGGACAGUUCCUGACGCUGAGGCGCGAAGGCCAGGGGAGCAAACGGG
rnacentral:rRNA from 1 species